UUUGGAAAAGCUCAAUUACCAUUCAAAUAUGCCAAUCUUGUAGAGUUAAGGAAUAUGCAGAGGAUUGUCGAUCAUUUCCAAAGGAUUUAAAAUUUAAAAGAAAAAAGGGUCCUCGAGUUGUUAUCAUAUGGUGGACCAUUACUACUGAAACAUGCACUAAGGGAUGACUUUAGUAGAGUCUCCUAGGGGGCAUGAUACCACUUAAGAGGGUGCAGUGGUGGUCAUUUGUAGGGUAGAGUUAUGAGCUUUAGGGCCAUGGGGU
rnacentral:lncRNA from 1 species